AUAAAACGUUACCAGGAAGGGCAAAGAAACGAGCAGGGCUCCCCCACCCCGCUCGCCCACCAGCUCUGCAGGCAGGGGUCCCCGCUGCGGACCCGGAUGCUCCGCACAGAGUUUGUACUUGCAAAUGGACUAUGAUUUUCAAAGAAGAGAAAUCACUGAUGAGAUUAAUGGGCAACCUACAACAGCCAAAAUAAUAUGCAGCUCAGGCUGAGUCUUCGAUGACCUGUAUGUACUGAAAUUCAGGAUGCAACCAAUAAUCUCACCAGGCCCAGAUCGUAA